rnacentral:rRNA from 1 species
CCUACGGGUGGCAGCAGUAGGGAAUUUUCGGCAAUGGGGGGAACCCUGACCGAGCAACGCCGCGUGAACGAAGAAGUUAUUCGUAAUGUAAAGUUCUUUUAACAGGGAAGAAAGAGAAAUUUGACGGUACCUGAAGAAUAAGCUCCGGCUAACUAGGUGCCAGCAGCCGCGUUAAUACGUAGUGAGCGAGCGUUAUCCGGAAUUAUUGGGCGUAAAGGGUGCGUAGAUGGCAUAGUAAGUCUUUUGUAAAAAUGCUGGGCUCAACCCAGUAGGGCAAAAGAUACUGCAAAGCUAGAGUAUGACAGAGGCGAGUGGAACUACAUGUGUAGCGGUAAAAUGCGUAGAUAUAUGUAAGAACACCAGUGGCGAAGGCGGCUUGCUGGGUCGAUACUGACAUUGAGGCACGAAAGCGUGGGGAGCAAACAGGAUUAGAUACCCGGGUAGUC